GCUCGGGUGGUGAAAUUGGCAGACACGCAUGCUUGAGGUGCAUGUGGAGAGAUCCUUGCGGGUUCGAGUCCCGCCCCGAGCACCA
rnacentral:tRNA from 4 species